UCAGAUGACAAGCCCGCCCUAACUUCCUGUGGCCAAAAUGGCCUGAAAAUUGCGAAAAUUUCUCUGAACAGAUUAAGCUAAUUCGAAGUGAAUUACAAGUGAAUUUAGGAUACAAUUGCAGAUAUUUUAUUGAGGUGUGACAGUAACUUGAAAAGAAUCAGAGAUUUAUAAAGAAAUAACGAAGAUUUGCAACGUUCUUCUAUCGCCCUGGGCAACGAUCGCGUGAAAGAGAAUUUUCUGCAUUCGCCAUAAAUAUCGUUGAAAACUGAACUUUGAACAACUUUGAACAUAUUCCCUUGGCCGGGUUUUUUUUGUGUGUAUUGGUUUUUUGUUGUUCGAUUUGAACUGCUGUGCUGGAUCCUGGAUUCCUCUGCCCCUGCUUGCCUUCCCUGGAGAGCUACAGCGGCGCGCGGACUGGCGAGCCACCCAUGUGAUCGACCUGCAAUUUUAAAGUGAAGGAAAGAGUUAAAUUGUGCCUUCUACAACGGUGGGUAGGACAAGUGUUUAAAUUCUACAAACUGGAACUCAACAACAAGUGGUCCAACAACUACACGGACUAAACUGAUUUGCACAGUUAGUGUUUUAUAAAAGUGUUUUGGUGUUAUAGUGUGAUAAGUUUCCUUUACAUAGGUAUUUUCAAUAGUACUACAUAAGGGUUUUGGUUUCAAAAUAAGUCCUGGUUCCAAAAUAAAAGUCCUGAAGUCUAAUUAGUGACAAAUUAUACUAGAUCCAAAUAACUAAUAAUAGGGAUAGACCAAAACACAUCAAAGAAAUACUAAAAGUAUGGUUAAGGUAUAAAAAUGGGAAAUAGUCUAAAAUGAGUGGAACCAGAGAAAAUAUAAAUACAGACACAAAGUAAAAGGUCUUGGGACCAACUUGAAUUUUUUUCUUUUCCCAUUUUGUAUAUAUGUGUACUGUUGUUGUUUAAUGCUUUCUACUUUGUAAUAAAAACGAAAGGUACAGAGAACCAAAAAGGGAAAAUUUAAUUUUAAAAAA